AGUGAACGCUGGCGGUAGGCCUAACACAUGCAAGUCGAACGGCAGCACAGUAAGAGCUUGCUCUUACGGGUGGCGAGUGGCGGACGGGUGAGGAAUACAUCGGAAUCUACUUUUUCGUGGGGGAUAACGUAGGGAAACUUACGCUAAUACCGCAUACGACCUACGGGUGAAAGCAGGGGAUCUUCGGACCUUGCGCGAUUGAAUGAGCCGAUGUCGGAUUAGCUAGUUGGCGGGGUAAAGGCCCACCAAGGCGACGAUCCGUAGCUGGUCUGAGAGGAUGAUCAGCCCCCCUGGAACUGAGACACGGUCCAGACUCCUACGGGAGGCAGAAGUGGGGAAUAUUGGACAAUGGGCGAAAGCCUGAUCCAGCCAUACCGCGUGGGUGAAGAAGGCCUUCGGGUUGUAAAGCCCUUUUGUUGGGAAAGAAAAGCAGCAGGUUAAUACCCCGCUGUUCUGACGGUACCCAAAGAAUAAGCACCGGCUAACUUCGU
rnacentral:rRNA from 1 species